AGCGAACGCUGGCGGCAGGCCUAACACAUGCAAGUCGAACGAACCUUUCGGGGUUAGUGGCGGACGGGUGAGUAACACGUGGGAACGUGCCUUUAGGUUCGGAAUAACUCAGGGAAACUUGUGCUAAUACCGAAUGUGCCCUUCGGGGGAAAGAUUAAUCGCCUUUAGAGCGGCCCGCGUCUGAUUAGCUAGUUGGUUGAGGUAAUGGCUCACCAAGGCGACGAUCAGUAGCUGGUCUGAGAGGCUGAUCAGCCACAUUGGGACUGAGACGCGGCCCAAACUCCUACGGGAGGCAGCAGUGGGGAAUCUUGCGCAAUGGGCGAAAGCCUGACGCAGCCAUGCCGCGUGAAUGAUGAAGGUCUUAGGAUUGUAAAAUUCUUUCAACGGGGACGAUAAUGACGGUACCCGGAGAAGAAGCCCCGGCUAACUUCGUG
rnacentral:rRNA from 1 species